UAGAAGAACAGCCACCUCACCGAGCUGCCAGCAUCACUGGCCAGAUGGCCGCGCUGUUACGCGAACAGACUCGUCUCUGCCAUCAGCUGGAAGCCUUAAGUUGUGAAUCCUCCCCUUCAAUUCUUGUGGAGCCACCCCCUUGCUGCUCGGUCCUCGAUGCCGUCAGAGAAGAAAAUCGACGCCUACAGAACAUGGUGGAGAAGAACUCGGAGGAACUGAAAGAGAUACGCAAACUUCUGAAGGAACUUGUGGCUGUGAAAAAUUCACAGUCUUGAAAAUAGAACUUGCCAUUUUUGUUUGCGGGCAACUUCUUAAUCGAGUUGAACUGUUCGAUAACAAUUUUGGGACUUAAUAAAAACUAAGACUUGAAUCCCGACGACAGACUUGCCAGAAGUUAUUUAACUGCGUUCCUAGAAUUAUUAGGUUGAAUUUUAACGAAGAUACAAAUUUUUAAUUGCAAUUUUUGGACUAACAGAGGGUGUUUUCCCCCUUGGUAUUAAUUUAUAUUUUUGCAGUAGUGCCAUGAACAAUUUACUUAAUAAGUUAAUAGCAGGAUAAAGGGAGUUUUCUAGCAAUGCAAGCAUAUAUAUACUUAUUUUGAAAAAAAUUAUUUUUAUUUUUAAAAUAUAACUACAUUUCCCAACGACAUAUUAAUUUAAAGUAAAUCUUUGAUGUCGUUCUCAGAAAUAAGCCUUCAUCUAAAACGUUAUAGAAGCAGGCGGUGAUCGUAAAGUAUUUUCAGGAGACUGUACAAUUUAUUAUCUGAAAUGAAAUUUGGUGCGGUAAUAAUGAAGGUCUUAAAAAAUAAUCAUCUGUUGAGACCAUAUUUUUGUAGAAUAUAAAACAAUUUAGCAGCUGUUACGUUGAUGCAUACGGAGCUUAGCGUGCGAAAUAUUGUACGGAAAUAAAUCAUCGUAUGUUCGAAACUGCGAACGCAGUAACGCCAUAAAAGUUUUGGGGUCACAUCAUACAAAUUUGAUGUCAUCAGAUGUGUUCGUGUGAAAAUUCUGUUGACUCGAACGUGUAAUUAGCAAUUUAUAGUUCCUACUUGACGCUGUAUGUUUGAUACAGGCCGUCGGUAAUCAGAAGAAUUCCGAAAUAUGCCAAACGAAGCCUAGAUAUGACUUUCGGUGCAUGAAAAUUGUUGAUGUUUUUCAGAAAUUUUUUACUGUUUUGUUGAGCCCCGCGCGUUCAGCAGUGUCGAGUCUUUCGUAUUCAGGUUAGAGACGUAAAUAUUUGUUUAUUGUUUUAGAGUUUAUGCAAUUUGCUGAUUGUGUAAGACGAGUUUUAGAGAACUGUUAUUUACAUUUAAUACUUAAGUUUUCAGUGUUCCCGAGUUCUGAAACAUUAGUGAGGUUAUGAGAUCUGUAUUUUUCUACAGUGUUCUUUUUUUUUUUGAUAGUUCCACCUUCUGCCACCCUGCAAUACGUUAUGUACAUUAGAACUGUUAUGGUUUAUAAAAUAUUAUCCUUUUAUGUUA